AUUGAACGCUGGCGGCAUGCUUUACACAUGCCAGUCGAACGGUAACAGGCCUUCGGGUGCUGACGAGUGGCGAACGGGUGCGUAAUGCAUCGGAACGUGCCCAGAGGUGGGGGAUAACGCAGCGAAAGCUGUGCUAAUACCGCAUGUGAUCUGAGGAUGAAAGCGGGGGACCAAGCAGCAAUGUUUGGCCUCGCGCCUCUGGAGCGGCCGAUGUCAGAUUAGGUAGUUGGUGGGGUAAAGGCCUACCAAGCCGACGAUCUGUAGCUGGUCUGAGAGGACGACCAGCCACACUGGGACUGAGACACGGCCCAGACUCCUACGGGAGGCAGCAGUGGGGAAUUUUGGACAAUGGGCGCAAGCCUGAUCCAGCAAUGCCGCGUGCGGGAAGAAGGCCUUCGGGUUGUAAACCGCUUUUGUACGGAACGAAAAGGCUCUGGCUAAUACCUGGGGCUGAUGACGGUACCAUAAGAAUAAGCACCGGCUAACUACGUG
rnacentral:rRNA from 1 species